AGAGUUUGAUCAUGGCUCAGAGCGAACGCUGGCGGCAGGCUUAACACAUGCAAGUCGAACGGGCGUAGCAAUACGUCAGUGGCAGACGGGUGAGUAACGCGUGGGAACGUACCUUUUGGUUCGGAACAACCCAGGGAAACUUGGGCUAAUACCGGAUAAGCCCUUACGGGGAAAGAUUUAUCGCCAAAAGAUCGGCCCGCGUCUGAUUAGCUUGUUGGUGAGGUAACGGCUCACCAAGGCGACGAUCAGUAGCUGGUCUGAGAGGAUGAUCAGCCACAUUGGGACUGAGACACGGCCCAAACUCCUACGGGAGGCAGCAGUGGGGAAUAUUGGACAAUGGGCGCAAGCCUGAUCCAGCCAUGCCGCGUGAGUGAUGAAGGCCCUAGGGUUGUAAAGCUCUUUUGUGCGGGAAGAUAAUGACGGUACCGCAAGAAUAAGCCCCGGCUAACUUCGUGCCAGCAGCCGCGGUAAUACGAAGGGGGCUAGCGUUGCUCGGAAUCACUGGGCGUAAAGGGUGCGUAGGCGGGUCUUUAAGUCAGGGGUGAAAUCCUGGAGCUCAACUCCAGAACUGCCUUUGAUACUGAGGAUCUUGAGUUCGGGAGAGGUGAGUGGAACUGCGAGUGUAGAGGUGAAAUUCGUAGAUAUUCGCAAGAACACCAGUGGCGAAGGCGGCUCACUGGCCCGAUACUGACGCUGAGGCACGAAAGCGUGGGGAGCAAACAGGAUUAGAUACCCUAGUAGUCC
rnacentral:rRNA from 1 species